UCAGGCUUCAGGUCGCAGUGGACGAUGUUCUUGAAAUGCAGAUGUCGGAGGGCAACCAGGACCUGAGGGGACAGGAAAUUGGUCUGUCUCACUGGGAGC